rnacentral:piRNA from 1 species
UUUGUCAUUUCUUUUAAAUUGUUGGCCAGA